CUCCAAGGAACAUUCAACGCUGUCGGUGAGUUUGGGAUUUGAAAAAACCACUGACCGUUGACUGUACCUUGGGG
rnacentral:pre_miRNA from 10 species